GGAUUUAAUAUAGUACUGGUGGAUGUAGUUAAACAUGUACAAACAAUCAUCCAUUUCAAAUUAAAUAUCACACUGAUAACUCAGGCAUGCAUGUUACAUUGACAAAAGAGACAUGUAUCUUAAAAUUAUAGCAGCAUAUUUACAUUUACACUGGAA